rnacentral:rRNA from 1 species
AAAUUGAAGAGUUUGAUCAUGGCUCAGAUUGAACGCUGGCGGCAGGCCUAACACAUGCAAGUCGAGCGGUAGCACAGAGAGCUUGCUCUCGGGUGACGAGCGGCGGACGGGUGAGUAAUGUCUGGGAAACUGCCUGAUGGAGGGGGGAUAACUACUGGAAACGGUAGCUAAUACCGCAUAAUGUCGCAAGACCAAAGUGGGGGACCUUCGGGCCUCAUGCCAUCAGAUGUGCCCAGAUGGGAUUAGCUAGUAGGUGGGGUAACGGCUCACCUAGGCGACGAUCCCUAGCUGGUCUGAGAGGAUGACCAGCCACACUGGAACUGAGACACGGUCCAGACUCCUACGGGAGGCAGCAGUGGGGAAUAUUGCACAAUGGGCGCAAGCCUGAUGCAGCCAUGCCGCGUGUGUGAAGAAGGCCUUCGGGUUGUAAAGCACUUUCAGCGGGGAGGAAGGCGGUGAGGUUAAUAACCUCAUCGAUUGACGUUACCCGCAGAAGAAGCACCGGCUAACUCCGUGCCAGCAGCCGCGGUAAUACGGAGGGUGCAAGCGUUAAUCGGAAUUACUGGGCGUAAAGCGCACGCAGGCGGUCUGUCAAGUCGGAUGUGAAAUCCCCGGGCUCAACCAGGGAACUGCAUUCGAAACUGGCAGGCUAGAGUCUUGUAGAGGGGGUAGAAUUCCAGGUGUAGCGGUGAAAUGCGUAGAGAUCUGGAGGAAUACCGGUGGCGAAGGCGGCCCCCUGGACAAAGACUGACGCUCAGGUGCGAAAGCGUGGGGAGCAAACAGGAUUAGAUACCCUGGUAGUCCACGCCGUAAACGAUGUCGAUUUGGAGGUUGUGCCCUUGAGGCGUGGCUUCCGGAGCUAACGCGUUAAAUCGACCGCCUGGGGAGUACGGCCGCAAGGUUAAAACUCAAAUGAAUUGACGGGGCCCGCACAAGCGGUGGAGCAUGUGGUUUAAUUCGAUGCAACGCGAAGAACCUUACCUGGUCUUGACAUCCACAGAACUUUCCAGAGAUGGAUUGGUGCCUUCGGGAACUGUGAGACAGGUGCUGCAUGGCUGUCGUCAGCUCGUGUUGUGAAAUGUUGGGUUAAGUCCCGCAACGAGCGCAACCCUUAUCCUUUGUUGCCAGCGGUUAGGCCGGGAACUCAAAGGAGACUGCCAGUGAUAAACUGGAGGAAGGUGGGGAUGACGUCAAGUCAUCAUGGCCCUUACGACCAGGGCUACACACGUGCUACAAUGGCAUAUACAAAGAGAAGCGACCUCGCGAGAGCAAGCGGACCUCAUAAAGUAUGUCGUAGUCCGGAUUGGAGUCUGCAACUCGACUCCAUGAAGUCGGAAUCGCUAGUAAUCGUAGAUCAGAAUGCUACGGUGAAUACGUUCCCGGGCCUUGUACACACCGCCCGUCACACCAUGGGAGUGGGUUGCAAAAGAAGUAGGUAGCUUAACCUUCGGGAGGGCGCUUACCACUUUGUGAUUCAUGACUGGGGUGAAGUCGUAACAAGGUAACCGUAGGGGAACCUGCGGUUGGAUCACCUCCUUACCUUAAAGAA